CCAGGAUUGCGCCCUGGGCCAAAGGCAGGCGCCAAACCGCUGCGCCACCCAGGGAUCCCUGGACACGAUGAAGACUUUUGCUCACGACAAGGCCACAAUUCAUGCACUGGAGGGAAUGAUUGUUAAAGAUUUCAAGAUCGAACUCCAUGCAAGGUGCAUCAAAGCUGGGUUAGUGAGAGAGGAAGAUUCAGAACAUCCCAUCUAAGAGGAAGCAGUGAGUCUCACAUGGAACAGGGUCCUUUCAUAGCAGGAAGUUUGUUGUUUUAAUCAAAGCAAACCAUCUGACAGCUCAUUAUUAAGAGACAACAAGAAAUGACUUUAUUAAUACA